GUAUUAGUAUUGAUCAACUAGGUAGGUUAGAUGUCAAAUUUUGUGGCUUAUAUUUUGAUUUAUUGUGAAGACAGGAUGCUUUUGCAAUUCCGGUGCUUGUUCUAAUUAUUUUGGUUUAUCACAUGCAGAGCUUCUAUCCAACAUUGAGGACUUGGAGGGUUGGGGUUUCUUGAAACUAGUUACUUAAGUUAUUUAAAGUUCACUGGUUCGGAUGCGUUUUGCCCCAUUGGUGGUGGUUCUUGUGGUGAUGUUCUCAAUAGCAGUUAUGCUGCCGUU
rnacentral:lncRNA from 1 species